UUUAACAGUGUGAUUAAUCGCAAUUAAUUUUUUUGAGUUAAUCAUGUGAGUUAACUGUGGUUAACUGACAGCCCUAGUAAUUAGUUCAGAAAGACUUAUUUUAAAA